AGGUCACGCUCAGGCUUUUCGUCACUUUCCCCACUAGCUUUGGCCUUCCUGCAUUCCUGACAUUUGAAGUGAAUUCCUCCUAACAUGUAUGUGUGCAGCUGUGUGUGUUAGCCUUCUGUUAUUAUUGAAAUAUCAUAUACGUGCAGAUUAGCUGCACCCUCAGCUGUGGUCCGAUUACAGGACGGGAUGAGGUAAAUGUUUACACCCACAAAGGCAGAAACAGAAACGGGCCCACGAAAAGUGACAGACGGAUGCGAGCCUUUCACCACAGGUUUUAGCAGCAGGCUGAUAAAAUGGUUUGGUGUUAAAAGAUGUUUGUCCUCCUCACUCUGUAUUGUGGGUUCAAGAGUACAAAUGUUAAAUGGGUUUGAAGAAAAUAAAGAACAAGUAAAUACUUUUCUUUAAAUGUCUUAAUCGCAGCUACAGCAAUUACCUGCACUUUUGCCAACAUGGUUCACAUUUUGUGUGUUAGUGCAUGAAAUCCUCGCUGCCCCGUUGACUGAAGAAUCUAUCUGCUGCCCUCCAGUGGCAGAAGGCUGCACCAGCAAAUAGAGGCAGCUUUAGCCAACAGAAUGAAAACAUUUCUGUUCUCUCUUGUGUAUUCGUGUGUUGUUUUUCUCUCUGUUUGUAAUGGAAGCCGUACAGAAACAGCAAACACAACAGAUUCGGUUCCUUCAUUGUCAUCCAGGAAAGAACGCAUAUUUCACAAGUAUAAGUGUAACUCUAAAAUACAGUACAAUGAUUUAUUUUGAACUUUUGAAUGCUUUAAUGUUGUACUGUACAGUGUAUGCUCUCUAUAUAAAUUGCGUUCAGCUAAAACUUUAAUGUUCUGCUGUAACUGCUGCUCAUCAUGUAUCGUGCAUUAAUACAGUCUAUUCAUUGUAAGGUAUUGUCCUUGUUGCUGAACUUAAGAGUUUGUGUGAAGUAAAAUAAUAAACACUAUUUAUAUUUUCUACUUAGGUAAGUGCAAAAAAGGUGCAAAGUGCAAAGUUCUGCUUUUAAAAUCAUAUGAAGUAUAAUACACAAAAUGUAUUUAACUGAUCAGAUAAAAGCACUUGACUUGUGUUGUUACUAAUGUGUUUUUGAGUAUUUAAAUGUUUCCGCUGGUUGGGACGAACCUUACAUUUGAUUAUGCUGACGGACAGUUUAGUCCUCUGAGUCUGGCUACCUUAAAGGGUCCCGGAAUUAAUAUACAGUUGCUGGACAGUCUGCCAGCUGUCGGAUAAGCAUACUAAAAUAAAACUAACAUUUAAAUGUAUGUAUGUAGUAUUUAAGUGCGCUUCCUUCCCACCACCAGUUUUUAAGGCGACUGUCCCUCAAAGUUUCACAGCUGAAACUAAAAUCCAUGAAACUGAGAGCUGAGUGUCUUCCACGUCUAUGUGCAAGUUUCACAUCAUCCUGUGCGUGACGUUCUGGUUUACACCCAAACUGCUGUAAUGUGACGUAUUAAUUUCGUCCUCUGUCAGGUAGUUAAUGUUAAUCCACUUUGUUACAGCACCAGAAAAUGAGUAAAGAUAGACACACACACCUCCCCCAACUGAAUCCUCCGGCCGACGCAGACUCGCCCUCCUCACGCUGCUCUCCCUCUGAUCCUAUAUCUGUCUGUCUUUUUGAUUCAAACUCACACUUCUCCCAAUACGGCAGUGCCCUUGGCAGCCGCGGUGCUGGAUCAGACCGGCAGUGUUCCCGGGUCUGGACUGGGGAGGAGCAGGUGUACUGCUGUCAACAGAGGCGCAGAAAUACUUGGCCAGCGAUCGGAGAUGGAUUACACGUUUAUGUCAUCAUAUUAAAGGCACUCUGUCAGCAAACAAAUUUUCUUACAUGGGAGUAAAGUCCCCACAGAGCGAGGGAGUGUGAGAAACCUCUUUCCGCUGUGUGCGCCGCGUUCAGUGGCAGUCUGACAAAUGGGUCGUUCGGUUGAAGGACGGACGCGGCGCCGCCGCCGCCUCCUUCUGAAAUAAUAACACUUUUGUUGCUGUUGAAGCCAGGUGACACAUUUACUACUCUUUAUGCUGUUAUUUUAGUCUCCCGUUUCAUUCCCUGCCUGCCUGUCUCCUCUGCAGCUGUGAGGUCCCCCGUGUGUCCAAAUAAAGACUGCAAGCGGCCCUAGCAGCGCCCUGACUGGACGUUGCCUUUUCGCCGUGUUACCCACAGUGCUUUGCCGUGCCCCAUUCCGCUGGUGUCGGACAGUGACUUUAGAGGCCGGACGGAGCUCCACAUGUCCCUCCUCAGGCCUUGAGCACGGUGUAUUUGGCAUGCUCAGAAUAAGCCCAAUGAUCUCCAAUUACCCUCCUCUCAGGGAUUGUUUGGUGUCACUUGCCGUCUGGAUAUGAUGAUUCUGCUCCCACAGUGUAAAAGGAUAGUUCCACAGUUCUUUUGGCAUGUACUGUUACAACUCAAUUGGAGCAGUGAGCCACAGUGAUCCCGGCCCCGUCAAUUAUAAAAUUCAAGCUGUUCAGGGUACAAGUGUUACCUCGGCGCUCGCUUGUUCUCGCCCUCUUAAGCACGGCGGACGCAUUCUGCCUCACCUGUUGAUAAGUGAGGUUUCCACGUGAAGCAGGGAAUUGUGCAGCUGGCGUGCUGGCUGCUUGGAAACCAAACAGACCAGGGCGGCGCACAGACAAAAGAUGUGAAGUAGUUUACUGGCGACGGGAUAUUGAGUGCUUUAACCUUUAAUAAACUGCAGCAUAUGACAGAAUAUAUGAAGCUUCCUCAUGGUCAGUCAGAAGACCUGAAACCAAAGCACUCAUUCAUCUGACACUUGGAUGCAGAAUCUGCCGACCUAUCAGAUUUUGAGAAACUCAGACAGGACACAUCCAUCAUUGCUCUAAUGUGAAAAUAGAACGUGAAACGGACCGGAACAGGCUCACAUUUUGUGCCAGUGAGAAAGCUUUCUGCUCCGCUUUCUGUAUCACAUCCUCACAUGCACUGCUAAGUCUGGUGAAAAAAGAGUUGACCAUACUCAAAUACUGUACCGUAAGCAUUCGGGGUGCACCGGCUGACCUGAUAUGGGCCCACGGGUGCAGGUUGCCGUGUGACACCAUGCCUGAGAGGACGGCCGCGACGGUGAUGAGCCGAAGGUGGAAUUCUGAAUGGAAACACCAUCUGUCCAUCUCUUUGUCUCCUUAAACAUUUAUUUUAUUUUAUUUUGUUCUUUUAAACUCUUUUGUUUUCUUUUCUUUUCUCCUCUUGAGAAUCAGAGAUGGACUGAAUGGUGACGCUGGUGCCUCCUGGGAACAACAUCCUGAUGCUGUCUGGGUGUGUAAAGCGGAACUCCAGCAUCAGUGAUUUUGUUGCCAGUGGGAGGACUAAAACCGCUGGAAAAUCAUAUUCAAAUCAUAUUAAAUUAAAAGUUUUGAAAGUUACACGAUGAUAAGAAAUUGAUCUGUAACUCAGGGUUAAAUAAAAAUGUACAGUAGCGGUGUGGAUGACAGCAAGCGUAAUCAUAUUUAUAGCCCUAUGAUCCAGGCAGCUGCAGCAAUGUGAUGUGUAUUACAAGUCUUUAAAUCUUAUAGCAACAGAAGAAAUUAAAUGUGUGUAUUUCAUUGUUAUGUUGUGAUUUGAUCUGUUUUUAUUUUGUGUUUUUUUUUUUUUAGUUUGUUUCUUUCUGCUGUCUGCUGUUCUGCUUUAGACCUGAAGAGGGAGCUAACGUUAGGCUUUGAGACAAAGAAGAUCAUUCUCACAGGAUGUAAUUGAACCUCAGUUGUCUUAAAUAUCAUUAUCAUGAUUACUAUUAUUAAACAACGACUGUGCAAUUGCAUGACUUUAAUGGAUGUAAUUAUUAACCCCAUCACUGAUGCUAAAGAUGAUGUUUUGUUUUCUUGUCAAGUUGAGCUUUUAUUUUGGUGCCUUCUUUGUGAGAUCUACUUUCUGGUUGGUGUGUCUUCACAGGAGUGCACACAUUAAAAUGAAGCCACUGGACUGGAGUUGUACCGAGGAGUAAAGGGGGAGAAAGGGGGAGCGUGUAGGCUUAUAUACAGUAUGGUAUCAUUUGUACAGCAAACAUCUUAAUAUUAAACUUUUUUGAAAAAUGCUUGGUUCACUUACCCUCGAAUGCAUUAUCAUUUUGCUGUUGCACAGUCUCACUGCUCACUUUCCUCCUGUCUGUAAGGAUUCACCAACAAAAUACCUCAUAAACCAUGUUUGGUUUCUCUCUUGGGGAAAAAUAAAACCUACUGGGCUGUGUUUAUUCAAAUAAACGAGCAAGAACCAGAGAGAAACCUUCAUCCAGUAACUCUUGAGCUGAAACUACCUGGCAACCUGGGAGCAUCUCUACUGGUUGAGAUCUCUGCAUCACAGGUUGCACGUAAAGACGCCGAGCAAAUGCAGAUAAUUAUCCUUCAACAAGACUGCACAGCUUGGAAACUUCACUAUGAUAUAAAUCAAAGAUAAAAUGAGAUGAGCCUGCAGCUAACAGACAAAGUUAACGGCGCAAUAAAGAGACAGUGAAGAAGGACAUGACACAGACCAACCCCGUAAUGCAGUGCAACAGAGGCUGAGGUAUCUGCCUGGCUCAUUUCCCAUGAUGCACAUCCGUAGUGUCGUUUAUUAGCCCCUCCCUCGGAGGCAGUUUCUUUCAAACUCAUCACGUGUGCAUUGCAGGGUUUUUUUCUUUUGGCUUUCCGACCUGACACAAAGCUUGAAGCAGUAAUCAGAUAAGACGGGAUGUCCUGCGACGAGCAAGCUGCCUCUCAUGUGUAAAGUGGACUGUCGGAUCCGUAAAACACAAUUUGGGUGCACUGGUCAUAAACAUUUUACUCCGUCCAAGACGGCCUGCACAAGUUAAUAAAAGACAAUAAAGUGAACACAGUUCGUUGCCGUAACUUAUGACUUAUAUUGUCCCUGCUAUAUUUGUUAAAUAUUAUAAAAUCUAUAAGGAUCCUGUGUGAACACAGGACUGAUGCAGACUGUUAAUAAGAUGAAUGACUCUCUCUGCUGCAGCCACUUACACUCGUGUUGUUUCCUGUCAGCAUGAGGCAGCUGUGUUACAUUAGACCAGAUAAGUUAUUGAUCUCCAUCUUGCACCCUGCGGCAAGAAGGUCAGAAGCCUCCGGGGAGUGCACCGUACACGUGAGCCCUCCGUCCUUUCCCUGCCCUCGCAUCACUCUCCUUCUUCUCCACCAUCUUCUCUCACCCCCCCACCCCACACCACCCCACCCCACCUUCUCUGUGCAUCCCUCUGUCUCUGUCUCUCCCCAUAUGUUUCGCCCGUCUCGUUCGGCGUCCCCUGUAAGUCCGGCUGCAGUAGCGGCGGGGCGAUGACUGGGGCUCGCAGGAUGCAAGAGGUAAAAUUCUUCAUGGGUGGAGCCACUCUGGUUAUUUCUCUGGACCGUUUGAAUUGGCUUUCUCAAAGGAGAUGUGGCGACAAAGGAAGAACAAAAAGUGGUGAGGAGCUAAAUUUGUGGAUACCCUCCGGUCAGAUGCUUCAGGCUGAUGAGGAGAAAAGGUCACUCAUCUGCUUCUGCAUCCGUGAUGGAAGGGGAAGAGCCGCCCUAAAGCCGUGGAGGACCACUGACUGCAGAUCAAGCUCGAGAUCAUCAGCCUUCUCUCUGUCUCCUCGAUACUGUUCACUUCUCAGAGAGCCUACCCAACAAUCAGCAUUUACUUCCCUAGAUCCCUUUGUUACAGAUUUCUCAAAGGAGGAUGCUUGGACAAGACUUAUAUUAAAUAUGCGGGACAUUAUUAGUAUGAUCGUUAAAAAUUUAAACAUGGCAACCAAGCAGGAUACAAUCACAAUGGAUGCCAGCUGUAGGUUUAUUAUACUCUGCGAUGACGCCGUACCAGAGCAACUUAUUGGCAUGUAUUCCAGUCGGGACUGUGCAACAUUCAUUGGGAAUGCUGGUCGUCAAAUGACUAUGGAUUUAAAAAAGCCGACUGUCCAGUGGCCCCUUAGCCCCAACACCAGCUCUGAGGAUGACCAAAUUGGAAAUGUUAUCAAAGACAAUUUAAACACAUGCAGCCUGAGAAGUCUUCUGAAAUCCUCCCAAAACAACAACCAUCCAGGGGGAUUAUCCAGACGGGAUGGAAGUGUGAAAAUGAAGAAGAGUGUGUCCUUCGAUGAAGAUGUUACGGUGUACCUGUUUGAUCAGGUACUGCUCUCCUGUUUUACUUUCUAACUCGGAGAGUCCCACUCUGGAGCUGCACUCUGAGCCCGGCACAUCUAUGCCAAGCAGCAAUUCUUGCAACCUGCCAAUUGUCUCAUUGGAAGACAGUGGUAUUAUUUUGUCUAUGCCACAAAUUUUACUUCCUUUUUUAAAAACAAACAAAAAAUCUAUUCUUAUAUAUAUAUAAACUACAAACUACACAUCGGCAUUUAAUCACUUAAAGCUACAUUUCAGAACGUUGCCUCCCCCUUCUGGCAGUGGGUGUAAUUGCACUGCCAGAACACUGACGUAAACCUACAGGUUUUUAGUACCUUCUUUUUAGUUAGUGACCCGAAUAUUGCUCCCUUUUUAUCCCAAACUUUAGAAAUUUUCAAAUCACAGAACCUCAGUUACAUUAGUAACCACCGAUUCCCCACUAAAGGUUCCAAGAUACUAGUUUUGUUUUGGUUGUUCUCAUCCUCAGCAGGACUAACGCCUCUGACACGCCCCAGAACACUGCAUGAUACAAACAUGUAUCCACACCUGAUUAACUUAAUCAGCAUUGUGUGAACUUGUUUGUCAAGGGUUUGAAUGUAGCACUUGCAUUUAAAAGUCCUGCACUAAACAGACAAAUUUACACUGCUAAAUACCAGUUGUCGUACGUUUUUCAGUUUUACAUAACAUUUUUACUUUGCCACAAGGUUGAGAAAAAUAUUUUACUUUUACACUCAUUUAGUUCUGAGUUGUCUUCUUUAAAAGACUUUAGAAAACAUCCAGUGUUAUGCAAAAUGCUUUUUGACACUAUAGCAGACCUUCUGUUAUAUAGUCUUUGUCAGUGUGAUGUUAUCUACUUUAAACAAAGGCCUGUGACAAUGUAACAAUAUCAGGGCGGGACACUACAAGGCUUAACAAAACUUUUAACGUUUGCAGGUCCCUUUAAACCCAUAGGCUGUAGGCUAUUAACAGUUCAUCGUCACUUGUUGCACAUGUGGUUGGUUUUGCCUACAGGCUUGGAGUGGGAUGAUGACUUCUUGACUGACUGCCAUUUUCAGCACAACACCCUUUCCCUGCCAACACAGAGCUGGGCUGCUGUGUCCAGACCAGAGCGUUGCUGUCUGUCCCAAACCUGCCUGUUCCUCACCUAUGUCACCGAGUCAGACCUUGAGCUGUGAGAUAAAGGACCGCCAGCCUUGGUCUAAUGGAAAAACUGACUAAUCGUCCAGAUCUCAUCUCUUCACCUCUAAGUCAUCUCCCCUCCUCCCUCCCCUUUUUAUGAUGACUCAGGGAUUUUAAUGGCGUUUUUUAUUCCCUCUGCGCUCCAAAUGGAUUCAAAGCACUUGAUGUUCAUGACAUCACAGCCGAGCAGGGCCGUGUAACAGCGUAUUCAGCUGUCACGGUAGUUGGUAUGACACAAGCGCUCGCUGCGAUGUGGUAAUAGUUGCUUAAUGUUGCUGGUACCUUUCCAGCUGCAAACCACUCCGGAUGUUGUUUUUAAUGCCAGGUAGUGUCCUUGGACCCCAACUUGGAUAGUGUUAGUGUAACAGUGUAGUGUCAACUCGCAUCAACAAAGCGCAAACAUUUCAGUGUCUGAAGUCACACUUUAUGUUGAAACUGUCGCAGAACAUUUGACGCGUCAGGCUUAAUGUUGAGAUAUGAAGGGUAUAAGUUGUUUAGACAGUUUGUUUUGCUCAAACAGAGCAUGCUUGUGGAGGCCCUGUUUGCUUGCCUCAUUACUGAAGUGUAUUCAGCUCAGAAUUUAUCAGCAGCUGUGACAAAAUAAACAGUGUAAGCCUUAGGGCCAAUGGAGGCAGAAACUGAGCAAACUAAAAGUAAUAGAUAAUGUUUCCACAGAGCACAGCAUCAGCGAGGUUUGGUUGAUUAGAUACAAUGUACCUGAGGAGGAAAGGAAAGCUGGCAGGACCAGUCUCAGUGUUCACAAGCACAUGCACGUUCACGCUACGUUUCCAUCACUUCAAAGGACAUUCAACUCAACUCAAGCCAAGUCUUCGCUCUAAAAUUUUAUGAUUUGUAUCACGUAAACUAAUCUAUGCCCCCACAAGAUGAGUAUUGUAUUCCUUAACCCCUAACCAUAAACUUGUUGUAACCUUUACUCUAACCCUGACACUUAACAGGUUUUAACAACAUUAUUUUUCCAAAAAGAAGACCACACACAUGCUCACAUACACACACACACAAAUAUCCACAGGGUGCUCAAGGACAUCAAAAACCAAAAGGUUUUUGCUUCAAAGAGCUGGGAGCGUCCCACCUGUAGUCUGUAGCUAGCCUACAUUAACGUGACAUCCCAACACAAGCAAAGCUAAUGUUGCUAAUAUGUAAAGUAUCGUGGCGCUUAUUUUAACAUUCAUUCAUAGCAUACACAUGGGCAACGUACUGUAUGUCUUUUUUUUAUUGCUUAUUGUCUUUUUUCUAAAGUUUAAGUGUAUAACUGAAUUGGUUUUGUUUAAGCUACCCCGUUCAUGUAUUUUCAAUUUCGUGCAGUAAAAGAGACAGCUAUUCAGUUUUUGCCCAUUAAUUCAGUAGUAGUGGUAGUAGAGUGUAUUUACUUGCCACUUGUGAAAACAUUUGUAACAUUUCCCAGUGAAGCUGAGCUUGUUAGUUGCUAGCUUACUUGUUCAUCGUCAUCGUGGUGAUGUUUCUGAAUGUAUUCAGCGAAAUUAUUAACUUUCCAACAUGACAUGUGAAUUCAUGUGAAUUCAAUGCCCUUUCACACUACAGCUAUGUAAUUCCUCCAGCUCUUGCCUAGAAAAGGCCUUUUCCCGUUUUAGGACAUCACAAGGCAAUUAGCACCACCUACAGCAGCAGCCAUAUUGAUACUCAUGCCUUGUUUUCGCCUCUACCAAAAAAAGAGGGGGUGGGCAGCAGCAGCUUGUCGCUUUUAAAGGCACAGAUGCGCAAAUGGCUUAUUUGGAAAUCCGCUGAAACCAGGGGCAUAAAGACAUGGCAGAAUAAAUGAUCUGUGAGGUAUUUUGAGCUGAAACGUGAAGAAACAUACUCUAUGAACAUGGGAAACUGUCACUAGCUUGUUUAAAAUGGGUAUGAUGUGGGAACUUUAAGUUAGUAGUUCAGUUGAGAACAUAUCAAAGGGCUGUAGAGUGUUUCUGAUUAUACAGUAGAUGGCAUGCUGUGGGACAUUAUUUACCUAAUGAAUGUAUCUCACUACCAUGACACCUCCCAGUUUCUGUAGCCCACUAUCUACCACCGCAGGGAAGGGUAAUAAUCCUAACUGCCAACAGAUGCGUUGGGCUGCCAGGGUUAAAUCGACACAGUGGUAUUACUACAAAUCAGACACACAUCCAUGUGAGGAAGAGCCGUGAUAGUGAUCAUACAGGAAUGCUAAUUAUUAUGUUUUACCAUUAAUUGUGUGGUACGUUUGUUGAGCUAUACUGUGGUUUGAGGGUAUUUGUAAGUACACGUUUCUCCCUAACUGCAGAAGUACCUCUGCAUAAAAACUUUAGGAACUGUUUUUCUGGUAAAAAAGCAAAUAUUGUGACAUCGUUUAAAUGAGACCUGCUCCUGUGCAUUCAGUUGUAGCCUGGAGGACUGUAUUCAAAUGAAGCAGUAGCAGCUGAUAAGCCACAAUGGAAAUUAUGUUAACUGUUCGGAAUAACUAACUUUACUGCUGGCAUUUGGUGAAAAAGUUCAAAUCCUCUCUGCCUUUUUGCAGUGAACCGAAGGUUUUCUCACAUUCAGAUGAGGAUUAAGGCAAAAAUAGAUGUUCACAUUUGAGAAAUGCAGUAGAGUAACAUGUUUUAUAGUGUAUAGGGCACUUGUAUAGAGUGAAUCUGUUUAAGUUCAGUUAAGUCUUCCACCACCAGGAAAUUAAAAACUAAUGUUAAAUGCUUUAUUUUCUUUCAUAAAAGUGUAAUUCACAUAAAAUCCACCUGUACACAAUGGGAACACUUCCAGUUAACGUUGCCCUUUAAACCCUUUGUGUUUUGCAUAUCAUCCUGAAAUUUGCUACACUUGCGAGCACUGGAGUGUGGGAACCAGGAAAUGCAAACAUUUACUUUCAAAUGAUUCGUAUUUUAGAAAAGUCACUGUGAAGCCAAAAAGUGAAGUAUUAUUUUUUUAAAUUCAACGUUAACUAAUUUUAUUAAGAUAAUAUUUGCACGUUAUAAUGUGUGAGUAUAAUUUUCAAUAUAAAAGAUUUAAAUCAAACAUUACACGGAAGAUCAUUCAUUCAUUAUUCAUUUGUUUUGUUUUUUGUUUGUAGUCUUUUUUUCACAUCCACGCAAAUAUUUAAGAGAUGAGUUAAUUUAUAAAGUCAAAUUAACAUAUUUAUUAUAGUAAUGUGAUUGAUUUUUGGAGGCCUGUAAGUUUUUCAUUUGGCUGUAUUUCCUUGUGGGUUGAUUCAUUUUAACAAAAUUUGAGCCUAUGAAUUAAAAAAUGAAAUUAUGCAUUGAUAAAGAAUCAACCAUACGCAGAUUUUUAGGCAGAUGUCCUGAUUCGUUCUGUUUUAUUCUGUGGAAAUGACACAUUGUGCUACACUUAGCUUCAUUUCGCUUCACAAUUGUUUUGUUUACUUAUUUAUUUACACUUUGACCGUAACUGUCCCUUCCAGUUGCAGCGUAAUUAUAUCCCUUUCAUGUACAUUAUUUUGCCAGUACCAGAAGCUUCUAAUUCAAGUAAAGUCAGGUUAAUAAAAUCCUAAAUACUACUGUCUCUCCUUGUCCCGCUGUGCUAGUAUACGCCACAGGUGUCAAACAUGCGGCCCGUGGGCCAAAGGCGGACCACCAGAGGGCCUAAUCUGGAGCGAGAAUUUUCAAAAAUUUACAUAGAAGACUGCAAUUUUUUCAAUGAAAAUAACUGCUUUUAAUCAAUUUGUCCACUGUUGUAGUGCGAGAAGUGGACCGAACAAAACUAUGAGACUAAAGAGAAGACAGCGACGUGCCCAAAUUGAGCGUAUUUUCUUAAUAAUUAAAAAAAAAAAAAAAAAAAAAAAAAAAAAAAAAAAAUUUAAGGAUAGUUUAUUACAUUUUACUUAUAGGUUAUUAUUCUGUUAUGUUACUGACCCGGUCCACUUGAGAUCAAAUUAGACUGAAUGUGGUCCCCAAACUAAUACCCUGAUAUAUGCUAACAAGACAAAACACAAUAAUUCUGUGUUAUUGCAAUAACACAGAAUACAUCAACUAUUUCCUAAAGAGAAGAUAUGCAGAUUUUUUAGUUUUGCUUUUGUUUUUUAAGUGUUGUAGUCAUAUUUUAAUGAACGGGAACUGACUACUUGUUCCUCCUCUAGCUAUGACCCAAAAAAACGAAUUUUUUGCAGUGCUCUGCCACUGAGGACCGAGAGACCGGGGCCGGCCCCUCUGAUUGGCCGAGCAGCGCGACGUGUACAUCAGUCAGCUGCAGGUAGCUCACAUGUGACAGUUAUUAUCUGUGUGCGCGCUGCACGGCGACACACUGCUGCUCCCCUCCGCUCUCUGACUGACUUUAUGGCGCUGACAAUGCCCGACUGGAGGGCGACGCUUUCUCUGUGAACGCUCGCGAGGAGGAUAAAGUAGUUGAACUU